GACGAACGCUGGCGGCGUGCUUAACACAUGCAAGUCGAGCGGAAAGGCCCUUUCGGGGGUACUCGAGCGGCGAACGGGUGAGUAACACGCGAGUAAUCUGCCCUUGGCUUUGGGAUAGCCACCGGCAACGGUGAUUAAUACCGGAUACGACACAGUUUCGCAUGAGGUCUGUGUGUAAGGUUUUUUGGCCAGGGAUGUGCUCGCGGCCUAUCAGCUUGUUGGUGGGGUAAUGGUCUACCAAGGCGUCGACGGGUAGCCGGCCUGAGAGGGUGACCGUCCACACUGGUACUGAGACACGGCCCAGACUCCGACGGGAGGCAGCAGUGGGGAAUAUUGGACAAUGGGCGGAAGCCUGAUCCAGCAACGCCGCGUGAGGGAUGACGGCCUUCGGGUUGUAAACCUCUUCCAGUACCGACGAAGCGAGAGUGACGGUAGGUACAGAAGAAGCACCGGCCAACUACGUGCCAGCAGCCGCCGUAACAC
rnacentral:rRNA from 1 species